AUGGUUUUUGUAGUGUAUGUUAUCCCCACCAUGUUGUCAUUGUCAAUAUCACACACCUUUUCCUCUAAAUGUAUCAUCAUCUGUAUCAUGGCACCACUAUCUUCUUGCUUCCGGCUUUUAGGUGGCAACCGCACCUGCCUUAGCAUAUACUCCCUCCGUCCGGGUUUAUUAGGCCUAAAGACAACUUUUCUUAGACCAAGACACAUAAUAAUUUGCUCACAUAAAUUCUUCAAUUCCACUCUCAAUGCACUCUCUCACAUGCAUGCAGCCAAUGAAAAAGCACGCAUGAAGUGUAUUAAUUUCCCAUUCAUGGCACCAACAACAAUGGCUUUCAAGGCAACCAAUGAAAUGGUUGCACGCAUGCACCUUUCCAAAGCGAGGCCUUAUAAAAAGGGACAUGCUUGUGAUGCUAAGAGGCCUAAUAAACCCGGACGGAGGGAGUACUCAUAUUCCUAG
rnacentral:rRNA from 1 species